GACGAACGCUGGCGGCGGGCUUAACACAUGCAAGUCGAACGGAAAGACCCUGCUUGUGUGGGGUGCUCGAGUGGCGAACGUGUGAGUAACACGGGAGUAACCUGCCCUGGACUUUGGGAUAACUUCAGGAAACUGGGGCUAAUACCGGAUAGGAGCUCCUGCUGCAUGGUGGGGGUUGGAAAGUUUAGGCGGUUGGGGAUGGACGCGCGGCUUAUCAGCUUGUGGGUGGGGUAGUGGCUUACCAAGGCUUUGACGGGUAGCCGGCCUGAGAGGGUGACCGGCCACAUUGGGACUGAGAUACGGCCCAGACUGCUACGGGAGGCAGCAGUGGGGAAUAUUGCACAAUGGGCGGAAGCCUGAUGCAGCAACGCCGCGUGCGGGAUGACGGCCUUCGGGUUGUAAACCGCUUUCGCCUGUGACGAAGCGUGAGUGACGGUAAUGGGUAAAGAAGCACCGGCUAACUACGUG
rnacentral:rRNA from 1 species